rnacentral:lncRNA from 1 species
CGAAGGAGUAACUAAUGACCGUAGAGGUCUUUCUGCAGGCGACAUGGGCCAAAAAGCACCAGCUCUGCUCCCAAGUCCUUGAGGAACCUUGCAGGACUGGCAAGAAAAGAAAAAACACCGUGAGUGUAUUGGCUCUCAGACAGGAGCUCUCACCACGAGAUCUGUGGCCACACUGCUUGGACUGUUUCCAAGAGCUCAGUAAAAGGGUGCGUCGCCCUUCCUCAGAUUUGGCUGCUAGUGCUACCGCGUUUCCUUGCGUUGCCCACAGCUGUUUUUCCCCACCAGAAAUCUGCAGAGAAGGACAGCCAUUGCGGCCAAAAGCUGGUGAGACAAAGAUCUUUCCUCCACUAUUAACAGCUCCCUCUCUCUAAUUCUCCUUAAAUAYGUAAAGGAGACACUAAAUUUACAACAUGCAUUGUUAACAACCAAGGCGAAGCUGGAGGGAGUUAAAACAUCCCACUUCUUCAUGCUGGUUUGGGAAUCCCAGCCUUCGAGUGACUUUUUCAAGCUCUUCUUUGUACCCCGGCAUUAGCUAAAACCAGGGAAAAUCCGCCAGCAGUGGAACAGGUCUGCCCGGGGGCCUGGUGGCUGUGCUGGGGGCCUGCCGUCGCCGCCUGCCCUGCACGCUGGGGAAAGGCCUGGGAACAGGCGCCUUGGAGCAUGAGCAGCGAUGCGCCUGCUGUCACCUCCGCCCCCGGGACACCGGGGAGGGCACGUUUCCAUCGCCCCGUGCCCCCGGUUUAUCUAUGUGCGAGGAACGAGGAGAUUAAAAAACAGGGAGCCGAGGAACUGCCCGGUGCUAGCCACGAGGCCCUAUGAUGAGCCAAACUGUGGUGUUUCUGUAGUGCGUUGUUUGAAAGUUCCUGCUGGGAGCACAACCAGGAGGACGAGCACAACCGCUGGACCAGAUGCGGAGUUUUAUCACCACCUGCAAACUCCAAGCAGAAUAAUUCAGGUUGAAAGGGACCCCGCCGCAAGGCAGGGUUGACUCUGAAGGGUC